UACGUAGGUGGCAAGCGUUGUCCGGAUUUACUGGGCGUAAAGGGCUCGUAGGCGGCCAACUAAGUCGGACGUGAAAUCCCCAGGCUCAACCUGGGAACUGCGUCCGAUACUGGAUGGCUUGAAUUCGGGAGAGGGAUGCAGAAUUCCAGGUGUAGCGGUGAAAUGCGUAGAUAUCUGGAGGAAUACCGGUGGCGAAGGCGGCAUCCUGGACCGACAUUGACGCUGAGGAGCGAAAGCUAGGGGAGCAAACGGG
rnacentral:rRNA from 1 species